AGGAUGAACGCUGGCGGCGUGCUUAAUACAUGCAAGUCGAGCGGCAGCAUGGACUUCGGUCUGAUGGCGAGCGGCGGACGGCUGAGUAACGCGUAGGAAUGUACCCCAAAGUGAGGAAUAACUGCCCGAAAGGGUAGCUAAUGCCGCAUGUGGUCUUCGGAUUAAAGCUUUAUGUGCUUUGGGAACAGCCUGCGUACGAUUAGCUAGUUGGUGAGGUAAAGGCUUACCAAGGCGAUGAUCGUUAGCUGGUCUGAGAGGAUGAUCAGCCAGACUGGGACUGAGAACGGCCCAGACUCCUACGGGAGGCAGCAGUAGGGAAUUUUCGUCAAUGGGGGAAACCCUGAACGAGCAACGCCGCGUGCAGGAAGACACUUUUCGGAGCGUAAACUGCUUUUCUCGGGGACGAGUAAGGACGGUACCCGAGGAUCAGCCCGGCUAACUACGUGCCAGCCAGCCGC
rnacentral:rRNA from 1 species